AGCAAUACAGAUUCCAGCAUGUUGGAAAAACUUUCUGCUAUCUUAGUCAUCUCUGCCUCAUGACAUGUGACAAAGGAGUCAGGCCUGAGGGACUGUGAGGCCUGGUUUCUGGGAACAGGAGGAAGAGAGAUCCAGUGGCUGCUUCAAAGCUUCCUMUCCCACUGAGUGCUAUGUUGGUGCCUCAGGACACUGGCCUUUUCCCUUCAGUGAUAUCCUGAUUCUGUCACUCACCAGCAUGCCUGGCUCCCUCAUUUUAGGUUUCUGCUCAGAAGUCACCUCCCUAGAGAGGCUUCCUGGACCAGCCCUGUAAUUUUCCAAGUUGUGCCUGCUUUCCUUUCUGUGAAUGAGUGGAAAUCAGUCCUAAAAGCCCGAGGAAUUUCUGCUGCAAGAUCUUCAACGGAAAACAUGCAGUUGCAUUCCGCCUGUCUUCCAAGAUGACCCUCCAUCACUGGAAGGUAUGGGGCUAUGAAGACAGCAGCUGUUCUAUGUUUCAGGUCCCACACAGCACGGGAGAUGGGAUGACCUGCUACAACCACAGCUGCACAGCCCCUCUGAGAUGGGUGUGGCCUGCCAAGAUGCCAAUCAACCUGCUGACUGUGAGACCUCAUGAAGCAAAAUUCUGCCCUUGAAACCUUACCUUUGCCUUUGAUGUACCCCCUUAAAUAAACCACAGGAG